AUGCAGGUCAGGGAGUUCGAGCUCGUCAGGGGGAAAGCACACACCGGGAAGAAGGGCUGGAUCGUGCGCUUCGACGGCGUCGACUCCUUGGACGAGGCCAGGCAGAUAGUUGGUUCGGCUGUUCUCGUGAAGACCGAGGAUAGGCCGGAACUGGAGGAGGAUGAGAUCUAUUCGCUCGAUCUUGUUGGCAUGAGCGUUAUUGUCAAGGAUACAGGCAAGCUUGUAGGCACUGUUGCACAGGUCUUCAAUUUUGGAGGUGGCGAUCUUCUCCAGGUUAUGGUUGGCUCUGCUGAGAAUGCUGUGCAGACUAAUUCAGAAAAUCCGGAUUCAACUCCAUCCCGUCAGCACGUGUGGAUUCCAUUUGCUGAAGAUAUUGUGCCUGAUAUUGAUAUGGAGAGUAGAGAGAUGUGGAUUACACCGCCAAAGGGUCUUCUUGAGGUCAAUACACGUCCUGAGAAAUCAAAGAAAGAAAGGCGUGCGAUGGAUUGGAAGGAAAAGAAGAAACUACAGCGUCGCAUAACUGCAGCAAAGAAGGUACUACAUGAAAUGGAACAGGGUCAUAUUCUGGAAGGUUUGCUAUCAGGAGACAAGCUUGAAAAGGCUUCACUUGCUGAACAAAUUGCGGGCAUUGACUUUCAAUUGUUCAAACAUGCAAUGCAUAGUGUCAGCAAGCAGGUUGACAGUAUGUCAAAGAAUGUUCUUGCCAAGUCUUCAUUAAGAAAAAAUGUGAUGAGGAUACCUCGCGAGACCCUCAUGAACCAUGGAGAGAAAGGGAAGAAUGUCUUCAGUGAUGAAUUUAGCAAAGGUCGUGAGAUCCUUCAAAAGUCGAAAGCAGCAAUCGUACUUAUUACAAAUGGCUCCGACUCUGAUAUUGUGGAUGCUGAGUUUCAGAGAUUGCUUAACUCUUUUAGUGAGUUAAUGAAGGUUGAAGAAAAUCAUAUAUCUCCCCCUUUCAUUAUUAUUUCUCCUGACAAUCAUGUGGAUUCAGUUCGGAACUACUUGGUAGAGAAUGACUAUUUUGGUUUUGACAAUCAGAAGGUAUGGGUCCUUGAAGAGAUGAAACUACCAGUUGUCAGUCUGUCCUCUGAGCUAAUGAGCAAAAAAAUUCUGCUGAAGUCCCCAUGGGAGAUACUUCAAAGGCCAGCCGGAACUGGGGCGAUUUUCAGCUCACUGUCAUCAAAUAAAAUUUUGGAAUCGUUCAAUGCAACGGGCAUAGAGUAUGUGCAGAUAUGCAGCCUCUCCGACGAGCUAGUCCUCGGGCAUCCUCUGCUCUUCGGUGCUGCAAGUUCCCGCGGCGUGGACGUCGGCAUCAAGCUCCGCAAGACCAGCGACAAGACGGAAAAUGGCUUCGAUUUGAUCCUUUCCAUCGACCACCUGAACAAGAUGUGCCGAGACGUGGCCAAGGCCAGGUUCUCCGCCCACCCCGAGCAGCAUGAACACGUCGAGCAUGUCGACGGCCAGUGGGUCGCCGUCCAGCCGGAGGCGCCGAACUCCCACCGGUUGAGCACCGAUGUUACAAGCGUUCUGGACUCUUGCUCUCCUGACAAGCUGUGCGUCAUGCAGAUUGUUGAGUAG
rnacentral:rRNA from 1 species